rnacentral:rRNA from 1 species
AGCGAACGCUGGCGGCAGGCUUAACACAUGCAAGUCGAGCGGGCGUAGCAAUACGUCAGCGGCAGACGGGUGAGUAACGCGUGGGAACGUACCUUUUGGUUCGGAACAACACAGGGAAACGUGUGCUAAUACCGGAUAAGCCCUUACGGGGAAAGAUUUAUCGCCGAAAGAUCGGCCCGCGUCUGAUUAGCUAGUUGGUGAGGUAACGGCUCACCAAGGCGACGAUCAGUAGCUGGUCUGAGAGGAUGAUCAGCCACAUUGGGACUGAGACACGGCCCAAACUCCUACGGGAGGCAGCAGUGGGGAAUAUUGGACAAUGGGGGCAACCCUGAUCCAGCCAUGCCGCGUGAGUGAUGAAGGCCCUAGGGUUGUAAAGCUCUUUUGUGCGGGAAGAUAAUGACGGUACCGGAAGAAUAAGCCCCGGCUAACUUCGUG